CCCCUGGUAGUAUAUCGGUUAGUACAAGCAGCUAUCAUAACACGGCAAGGAAACAAAUAAAGCCUUCAAUUUGUCAAUGCGAAAACUGGGUUCGACUCCCAGCCGGGGAU